UACUCCUACGGGAGGCAGCAGUAGGGAAUUUUCGGCAAUGGGGGCAACCCUGACCGAGCAACGCCGCGUGAACGACGAAGUACUUCGGUAUGUAAAGUUCUUUUAUCAGGGAAGAAUGGCUUACGGAAAAGUGAGCGUGACGGUACCUGAUGAAUAAGCCCCGGCUAACUAUGUGCCAGCAGCCGCGGUAAUA
rnacentral:rRNA from 1 species